GACGAACGCUGGCGGCGUGCUUAACACAUGCAAGUCGAACGGUAAGGCCCUUCGGGGUACACGAGUGGCGAACGGGUGAGUAACACGUGGGUGAUCUGCCCUGCACUUCGGGAUAAGCCUGGGAAACUGGGUCUAAUACCGGAUAGGACUCCGGACUGCAUGGUCUGGGGUGGAAAGCUUUUGCGGUGUGGGAUGGGCCCGCGGCCUAUCAGCUUGUUGGUGGGGUGAUGGCCUACCAAGGCGACGACGGGUAGCCGGCCUGGGAGGGUGACCGGCCACACUGGGACGGAGAUACGGCCCAGACUCCUACGGGAGGCAGCGGUGGGGAAUAGUGCACAAUGGGCGCAAGCCUGAUGCAGCGACGCCGCGUGAGGGAUGACGGCCUUCGGGUUGUAAACCUCUUUCAGCAUCGACGAAGCGAAAGUGACGGUAGGUGCAGAAGAAGGACCGGCCAACUACGUGCCAGCAGCCGCCGUAA
rnacentral:rRNA from 1 species